UGUUAAUGGUUUGGAUAGAGUGCAGGUAGUCAGGGGUGUGGCACAUACUUAGUGUGUUGACACAAGCCAACUAGGUCAGGAAAUAGGCGGGGCAGUUAACACCCUUGGAUGUGCCAACAAGCACGAGUAUAUAUUGACUUUUUUCAUUUCAACUAGAACUUGUUCAUUUGCAGCAAGCUUCAGAAAACAGCUGCGUACUCGAACAUUCAGCAUGUGUGACCACAUUUUGAAGAGGAAGAGGAGGAUUAGACACCGUUAUGUCAACGAUGAACCCACUGCUUGUGUGCACACAUACGUGGAAAAGUACUAGGCUGCAUGCACGCUCACGAGAAUUUGCUGUAGGAUGGCUUUCCUCCAUAGCUCCCGGAGUUCCUCUUUGCUCUUUCUUGUCCUCUCUUCAGGCACCGCUCUCAUGGACGACUCCGCACUCCCCACAACGACCGAUUGGCCCCCACACACAUGAACCCCGUCCAGACAGUCUCCGCGCUCUGAAAAACAUCAAAGGUAAUUAUGGCAUUAGACUGGAUCAGACAACGUGAUGCUGCAGAAAAAAAAAAAGAAAAAAAAAAAUAGGAUUCCGGAAUAAUAUAACAA